rnacentral:rRNA from 1 species
AUUGAACGCCGGCGGCAUGCCUUACACAUGCAAGUCGAACGGCAGCGCGGGAGCAAUCCUGGCGGCGAGUGGCGAACGGGUGAGUAAUGCAUCGGAACGUGCCUAGUAGUGGGGGAUAACUGCUCGAAAGAGCAGCUAAUACCGCAUACGACCUGAGGGUGAAAGGGGGGGAUCGCAAGACCUCUCGCUAUUAGAGCGGCCGAUGUCGGAUUAGCUAGUUGGUGGGGUAAAGGCCCACCAAGGCAACGAUCCGUAGCUGGUCUGAGAGGACGACCAGCCACACUGGGACUGAGACACGGCCCAGACUCCGACGGGAGGCAGCAGUGGGGAAUUUUGGACAAUGGACGCAAGUCUGAUCCAGCCAUGCCGCGUGCGGGAAGAAGGCCUUCGGGUUGUAAACCGCUUUUGUCAGGGAAGAAAUCUUCUGGGCUAAUACCCUGGGAGGAUGACGGUACCUGAAGAAUAAGCACCGGCUAACUACGUGCCAGCAGCCGCCGUAAGAC